ensembl:rRNA 5S_rRNA 5S ribosomal RNA
GUCUAUGGCCAUACCACUCUGAACAUGCUUGAUCUCGUAAGCUAAGCAGCGUCAAGCCUAGUUAGUACUUGGAUGGGAGAAGUCAGGUAGAAUUGACA